AUCACAGCAGAGUGAGUCUGCCUGCGUCAGCGGAAGAGCUGCCUUCGUGGAGGUGCAGAUGCAGUCAGCCGUUGUGGAAUUCAUCUUGAACCACUCAGAUGUCCUCUUCCGCUCCAAAUCCGGCCCGCUCAUUGGAGAUAGAGCGAGAUGCAGUUCUUAACUGUGGCCCAAGUCCCUGUGGGUUUCUUCUCCUCCCACAAAGCUGCUCACCCUGGGGGAGGCACAGGCACGGACACGAGGCCACAGCAGCUCUCCCGUUGUGUCAGACAGCAGAGAGAUUGCAGUGGAAGAAGGCCCCGCAGCUUUCCAGGGGAAAUUCCACGCAGUCGUUGACUUUCCAUCCAAAAGAUGAAGAGGAGUUUCUUUUGCAGCACUUAUCGUAAUUGUUUGGAUGAUGCGCUUGGUGCUCCCUUUGCAAAUGAUCGUUUGGGUCUGGAUUUUGUGCCUGUGCCUGUGGGACAACCCAGAGGCCCUGCUGGUGAAUCAACAGAAGAGGAUCCUGUCUACGAAUCUGAGGGGGAUGCUGGAGAUGUGACUGGAGCAGGCGAUCCAGGAUCCGCUCUGAGCUCUGGGACCGAAACUCUGGAGGAUGGCAUGGAAGUGCCUCCAUGGAUGUCUUUGCCCGGUCGUUCAUUUCCUCUCACGCUGGAGCCCAGCUGGAAUCCCAGCGGUGAGUAGUUUGUCUUUACUGACUCCGCUGACUCACCGCUGGUCUCCAAAACUUCAUGCACAUGAUAUUUGACUUCAUACAUUCUGUACAGGUCCGGAAAGAGGAAAGGAUGAACCCAGAAGAGGAAGAUACUCCCAGGGCUCAUCCCGUCUCCUAAAGGAUCUGCUGAAGGAAAUGGAGAAGGCAGCGCGUGGUAGGUAUACUUCAGUGUGUUCACCGUGAGACCUUGGAAGCUGAGGUCUGACGUUCAUGUGUGGACAAGCCGUAGCCUGCACAGCAGGAAGGGAUCGCGCAGAGCCGUGCUGCGGUGGUGUUCCAUGUAACGCCUUGCAGACACCCAAGUAUUUGACAGCCUGUACAACCUCAUCACCGACUACUGGCAGACGCCACUGAGGUACAACGGACUUGAGAUAAGGCUGACAGAGCCGUGCCUGGGUCCAACACUCACAACAACACAGACUGGGUGCUGCGGAACGGCACCAGAGCGAUGAGCCCAGCUCCAGUGCCAUCUACUUCAGGGCAGGAGGGAAGAUCCAGCACUUGACCAAGUGCACAUUGUUCAAGUUCAUCACCCACAAUAAAAGUGUUUUUUUGUUCUGCA
rnacentral:lncRNA from 1 species